rnacentral:lncRNA from 1 species
GAGCUUUGACAAUAAGGGCUGGACAGUGGCCCUGCUGUGAGAAGAGAGAAAAGGAACGGGGCUGAGGGAAGGACGAGAGACAAGAUCCAGAGGGUGCUGCUCCCUUGGGAAUAGAGAAGGCGAGGGAAGGAUAUUGUCUUGGUGCCUGUGAAUUCCAGAUCUGAAGGCGAUGCUAUUGGAUCUGGGUCUUUCCUCAUCAGCCCACUCCUGGAAAUGGUGGGCAGCUGGAGCCAAGAUGACAAAGGGGAAGAUUAGAGGCAACUGAGACCUAAGUCCUGGACCUGGAAGGUGAAAAGGCAAGAGGAUGAUAUCCUACGAGGGUCUCAUGAUCACCUUCUAAAGGAAAGGAUGUUUUAACACGCAAGCGUGGGAAGGACUUUGUGGGUGAUAGCCACGCAUUCAACAAAAGCCACCGCUGGACUCCAGUUCCCAGCCUUGCAGUUGGAUGGACCGUGGGGAUGUGGCGGAAGUGAGGCUCACCUCUUGCUGUCCUGGCCCACAAAAGCCUCCCACAAUCCUCCUCUCUUUUGUUCCCCAGCCUUGCGGUCUCCUUCUAGCACCUCCAACUGGCAGAACUUUCAGGAAACAGUUGUCAAAGCUGAAUGUGGUUUGCAGAAUUCCAGUUCCAGCCCCAUAAAGCUGGAUGUAAAAAGCUUCCCGUGCCCGGCCCCUUUGAAUGGAACUCCCUUCUUGCUGCAAUGGUGGGGCUGGCGGUGCAGGGGGACAGCCAGACUCCUGAGCCCAGAGCAGAGCAGCCACGACCUGCUCUUCAUUCCCAAGGCAUUUGACAGAGCACGAGCUGAGGCUGCAUCCUGUUUGGUGGCUUUACUGCCCAUAGACCCUGGGAUUUUGGCCUCCCCACACAGCUGGCUUGACCUUGCUCACAGCAUGGCAGUGUCGGAACAGCCAGACUCAGGACAUGGCAGCUGGUUUCCCCUAGAGGACCAUUCGAGGAGAGGAUGCUGCUACUUCUUUAAAGCCUUGGGCGCACCGGAAAAGAGGAAAUUGGAGAAGGCUUUGGAGAAGGACGUGGAAAAAGCCCUGCGUGUGUGAAGCUCUUUUCUCCGUGCCCGGAGGAAAUGCGAAAGGGGACCGUGUGAACAUCUGUGGGAGCUACUGAGAGGCUCAGGAUUAGCGUCAAUGCCUGUUAUGACAUUCUGCCUUUCAGCUCAAUAAAAUGAUUUUUUGUGAGGC